CCGCCUGCCCUGUGACCAUGUGUUUAACGGCCGCGGUAUUUUGACCGUGCGAAGGUAGCGCAAUCACUUGUCUUUUAAAUGAAGACCUGUAUGAAUGGCAUAACGAGGGCUAAGCUGUCUCCUUUUUCCAGUCAAUGAAAUUGAUCUGCCCGUGCAGAAGCGGGCAUGAAAACAUUAGACGAGAAGACCCUAUGGAGCUUCAGACGCAAGGACAGCCUAUGUUAAAAAACCUUAGUUAAAAGACUAAACAAAACAGUCCCUGUCCUCCUGUCUUUGGUUGGGGCGACCGCGGGGCAACAACUAACCCCCAUGUGGAACAAGGACAACUCCUUUGAGACCAGGCCCACAGCCCUAAUAAGCAGAACAUCUGACCAACAAGAUCCGGCACUGCCGAUCAACGGACCGAGUUACCCUAGGGAUAACAGCGCAAUCCUCUUUUAGAGCCCAUAUCGACAAGGGGGUUUACGACCUCGAUGUUGGAUCAGGACAUCCUAA
rnacentral:rRNA from 1 species